CUGUGGUCCGGGCGAAGCCUGACCGCCUUCCGCGUGCGUGAAGAAGGCCUUCGGGUUGUAAAGCGCUUUUGCACGGGACGAAACGAUGCUUUCUAAUAAACUGGGUUAAUGACGGUACCUUGAUAAUAAGCACCGGCUGAGGGGGGUGCCAGCAGCCGCGGUAAUACGUAGGGUGCAAGCGUUAAUCGGAAUUACUGGGCGUAAAGCGUGCGCAGGCGGUUUUAUAAGACAGAUGUGAAAUCCCCGAGCUCAACCUGGGAACGGCAUUUGAGACUGUAAAACUAGAAUACGGCAGAGGGGGAUGGAAUUCCCGUGUAGCAGGGGAGGGGGGGGGGAUAUGCGGAGGAACACCAAUGGCAAAGGCAAUCCCCUGGACCUGUACUGACGCUCAUGCCCAAA
rnacentral:rRNA from 1 species